GAGCAAACAAGGGCUGAUAUUCAUUCAAGUCAGUUUCUCAACCCAGACUGCAUGAUAUUUCCCAAACAUUUAAGACUAAGAAAAACAACAACAACAACAACAAAGACAGGAAGAGGCCAGCAUCAAUGUUGCUGUCAUGAGGAGGAAGAGGAGGAGAAGGAAAAGGAAGAGGAGGAAGAGAAGGAAGGGGAAGAAGAGGGGGAGACUCACAAAUAUCUUCUUUUAAUAACAUCAAUGUUGCUGUCAUGAGAAGGAGGAGGAGAACAUCAGUUCCUUUUAACAAUCCAGGUUGUUAGUUUUUAUUGUAAUAAAGCCCAAAGAGACCGCU